rnacentral:rRNA from 1 species
CAGUCGAGGGGUAUUGUUCUUCGGAAUGAGAGACCGGCGCACGGGUGCGUAACGCGUAUGCAAUCUACCUUUCACAGAGGGAUAGCCCAGAGAAAUUUGGAUUAAUACCUCAUAGUAUAUAGAGUUGGCAUCAACAUUAUAUUAAAGUCACAACGGUGAAAGAUGAGCAUGCGUCCCAUUAGCUUGUUGGUAAGGUAACGGCUUACCAAGGCAACGAUGGGUAGGGGUCCUGAGAGGGAGAUCCCCCACACUGGUACUGAGACACGGACCAGACUCCUACGGGAGGCAGCAGUGAGGAAUAUUGGACAAUGGGCGCAAGCCUGAUCCAGCCAUGCCGCGUGCAGGAUGACGGUCCUAUGGAUUGUAAACUGCUUUUGCACAGGAAGAAACACUCGGACGUGUCCGAGCUUGACGGUACUGUGAGAAUAAGGAUCGGCUAACUCCGUGCCAGCAGCCGCGGUAAUACGGAGGAUCCAAGCGUUAUCCGGAAUCAUUGGGUUUAAAGGGUCCGUAGGCGGUUUGGUAAGUCAGUGGUGAAAGCCCAUCGCUCAACGGUGGAACGGCCAUUGAUACUGCUAGACUUGAAUUAUUAGGAAGUAACUAGAAUAUGUAGUGUAGCGGUGAAAUGCUUAGAGAUUACAUGGAAUACCAAUUGCGAAGGCAGGUUACUACUAAUGGAUUGACGCUGAUGGACGAAAGCGUGGGUAGCGAACAGGAUUAGAUACCCUGGUAGUCCACGCCGUAAACGAUGGAUACUAGCUGUUGGGAGCAAUCUCAGU